GCCGGGGUGGCGGAACUGGCAGACGCAGCGGACUUAAAAUCCGCUGGACCCCUGGGGUCCGUGGGAGUUCGAGUCUCCCCCCCGGCA
rnacentral:tRNA from 1 species